rnacentral:rRNA from 1 species
CAGCUUUUGAACGUUCGAUCUCAAAUCAGGUAGGACUACCCGCUGAACUUAAGCAUAUCAAUAAGCGGAGGAAAAGAACUAACAAGGAUUCCCCUAGUAACUGCGAGUGAAGCGGGAAGAGCUCAAAUUUAAAAUCUGGCCGCCUUCGGUUGCCCGAGUUGUAGUCUGGAGAAGCGUCUUCCGUGUUGGACCGUGUAUAAGUCUCUUGGAACAGGGCGUCAUAGAGGGUGAGAAUCCCGUCUUUGACACGGACUACCAAUGCUUUGUGAUGCGCUCUCAAAGAGUCGAGUUGUUUGGGAAUGCAGCUCAAAAUGGGUGGUAAAUUCCAUCUAAAGCUAAAUAUAGGCGAGAGACCGAUAGCGAACAAGUACCGUGAGGGAAAGAUGAAAAGCACUUUGGAAAGAGAGUUAAACAGUACGUGAAAUUGCUGAAAGGGAAACGCUUGAAGUCAGUCGUGUCUGCCAGGACUCAGCCUUGCUUCUGCUUGGUGCACUUUCUGGUCGGAUGGGCCAACAUCAAUUUUGACCGUCGGAGAAAGUCAUUGGGAAUGUGGCACCUUCGGGUGUGUUAUAGCCCAUUGUCGUAUACGGCGGUUGGGAUUGAGGACUGCAGCACGCCUUUAUGGCCGGGGUUCGCCCACGUACGUGCUUAGGAUGUUGGCGUAAUG